rnacentral:rRNA from 1 species
UGGUGGAGCGAUUUGUCUGGUUAAUUCCGAUAACGAACGAGACUCUGGCCUAUUAAAUAGUUCGCCGAUUCCGAUCUGUCGGCGUUAACUUCUUAGAGGGACAAGUGACUUUUAGCCACGCGAGAUUGAGCAAUAACA